rnacentral:rRNA from 1 species
AAACAGGAUUAGAUACCCUGGUAGUCCACGCCGUAAACGAUGAGUGCUAAGUGUUGGAGGGUUUCCGCCCUUCAGUGCUGCAGCAAACGCAUUAAGCACUCCGCCUGGGGAGUACGACCGCAAGGUUGAAACUCAAAGGAAUUGACGGGGGCCCGCACAAGCGGUGGAGCAUGUGGUUUAAUUCGAAGCAACGCGAAGAACCUUACCAGGUCUUGACAUCCUUUGACCACUCUAGAGAUAGAGCUUCCCCUUCGGGGGCAAAGUGACAGGUGGUGCAUGGUUGUCGUCAGCUCGUGUCGUGAGAUGUUGGGUUAAGUCCCGCAACGAGCGCAACCCUUAUUGUUAGUUGCCAUCAUUUAGUUGGGCACUCUAGCGAGACUGCCGGUGACAAACCGGAGGAAGGUGGGGAUGACGUCAAAUCAUCAUGCCCCUUAUGACCUGGGCUACACACGUGCUACAAUGGGAAGUACAACGAGUCGCGAAGUCGCGAGGCUAAGCUAAUCUCUUAAAGCUUCUCUCAGUUCGGAUUGUAGGCUGCAACUCGCCUACAUGAAGCCGGAAUCGCUAGUAAUCGCGGAUCAGCACGCCGCGGUGAAUACGUUCCCGGGCCUUGUACACACCGCCCGUCACACCACGAGAGUUUGUAACACCCGAAGUCGGUGAGGUAACCUUUUGGAGCCAGCCGCCUAAGGUGGGAUAGAUGAUUGGGGUGAAGUCGUAACAAGGUAGCCGUAUCGGAAGGUGCGGCUG